GAAACCCGGGUGUCUAAUCCAAGUUCCGGGUGAAAGUGGGAGUAAAAUCCCCAGGGAGGACCCGAACCGACUUCCGUUGAAAAGGCGGCGGGAUGAGGUGUGGAUAGCGGAGAAAAUUCCAAUCGAACCCGGAGAUAGCUGGUUCUCCCCCGAAAUAGCUUUAGGGCUAGCGUUGUAUUAGAUUUACCGGAGGUAAAGCACUGAAUGGGCUAGGGGCCGAGAGGUUACUGAACCCUAUCAAACUCUGAAUGCCGGAUAAUUGAUGUACAGCAGUCAGACUACGUGAGAUAAGUCUCGUGGUCGAGAGGGAAAAAGCCCAGACCCACAGCUAAGGUCCCAAAUACACGUUAAGUGGAAAAGGAUGUGGAGUUGCACAGACAACCAGGAUGUUGGCUUAGAAGCAGCCACUCAUUAAAAGAGUGCGUAAUAGCUCACUGGUCGAGUGACUCUGCGCCGAAAAUUCAACGGGGCUAAACGUGUAACCGAAGCUUGGGAUUUCAUUCACUGAACAAUGCUUUUUGUCAGGCAGGAGGGAAAGAUUUGCUGCCGAAGGCAGCUAAAUUCCCAAAAGCAAACGAGAGAGAAAGUAUUGGUCAGUGAAUGAAAUGGUAGGGGAGCGUCGUAUACGGGGUGAAGUAUGAGCGAAAGCGCAUGUGGACUGUAUACGAGUGAGAAUGCCGGAAUGAGUAGCGAGAAAUAUGUGAGAAUCAUAUUGGCCGAAAGUCUAAGGUUUCCGGAGGAAGGUUCGUCCGCUCCGGGUAAGCCGGGAGCUAAGGUGAGGCCGGAAGGCGUAGCCGAUGCACAUACGGUAGAGAUUCCGUAGCUGCCGGAGGAUUUAAGCAGAGGGACACUGUCAAAGGGUAUGACCCGGGCGUUGGUAGCCCCGGGCGAAAGGGACUGAAAUAUAGUAGGGAAGCAUACUUGGCGGCAGGCGAGAAAAGCUCUGUGGAUAUCUGAGGCACCCGUACCGCAAACCGACACAGGUAGACAGGAAGAGAAUUCUAAGGCCAACGGGAGAAGGGUUGUUAAGGAACUCGGCAAGUUGACCCCGUAACUUAGGGAAAAGGGGUGCUCCUGAAAGGGAGCCGCAGAGAAUAGGUCCAGGCGACUGUUUAGCAAAAACACAGCUCUAUGCUAAAUCGAAAGAUGACGUAUAUGGGGUGACACCUGCCCGGUGCCGGAAGGUUAAGAGGAGGAGUGAGAGCUCUGAAUUGAAGCCCCGGUAAACGGCGGCCGUAACUAUAACGGUCCUAAGGUAGCGAAAUUCCUUGUCAGGUAAGUUCUGACCCGCACGAAUGGUGUAACGAUCUGGACACUGUCUCAACAGCCCGCCCGGCGAAAUUGUAGUACCGGUGAAGAUGCCGGUUACCCGCGACAAGACGGAAAGACCCCAUGGAGCUUUACUGCAGCUUAAUAUUGGAUUUCGGUAUUUCAUGUACAGGAUAGGUGGGAGGCAGAGAAGGCAGCACGCCAGUGUUGCUGGAGCCGGCGUUGGGAUACCACUCUUGAGGUGCUGAAAUUCUAACCUGCGGCCGUGAAUCCGGUCGGGGGACAGUGUUAGGCGGGCAGUUUGACUGGGGCGGUCGCCUCCAAAAAGGUAACGGAGGCGCUCAAAGGUUGGCUCAGCAUGGACGGAAACCAUGCCAGAGAGUGUAAACGCACAAGCCAGCCUAACUGCGAGAGCGACAGUUCGAGCAGUAACGAAAGUUGGAGUUAGUGAUCCGGUGGUAUGUGAGUGGAAAUGCCAUCGCUCAACGGAUAAAAGCUACCCUGGGGAUAACAGGCUGAUCUCCCCCAAGAGUCCACAUCGUCGGGGAGGUUUGGCACCUCGAUGUCGGCUCAUCGCAUCCUGGGGCUGAAUUCGGUCCCAAGGGUUUGGCUGUUCGCCAAUUAAAGCGGUACGCGAGCUGGGUUCAGAACGUCGUGAGACAGUUCGGUCCCUAUCUGUCGUGGGCGCAGGAUAUUUGAGAGGAGCUGUCCCUAGUACGAGAGGACCGGGAUGGACGUACCUCUGGUGCACCAGUUGUCGUGCCAACGGCACAGCUGGGCAGCUAAGUACGGAUCGGAUAAACGCUGAAGGCAUCUAAGCGUGAAGCCGACCUCAAGAUAAGAUAUGCCACUGAGUAAUCAGGUAAGACCCCUUGAAGACUACAAGGUUGAUAGGCCGCAUGUGGAAGCGUCGUGAGGCGUGCAGCAAGGCGGUACUAAUCGGUCGAGGGCUUGACCAG
rnacentral:rRNA from 1 species